UUUUUUAUAAAUUUAGGAUGUAAAAGAGGAAACAGAAGAGGAAGAAAAUAGAAAGUCUUUUAUCAUUGACGACUGAAGUAUAGAGAGGAUACACUCAAAACAACUGACGUGUACAACAUGUUCUUUUUUAAAAGAGAACUGUGCAAAAGUGCAGGGAAAAUUUUGGUUUAUUUGAUCAAUUAUAUAUUGAGGGAUUGUCAC
rnacentral:lncRNA from 1 species